rnacentral:rRNA from 1 species
CCCAGACUCCUACGGGAGGCAGCAGUGGGGAAUAUUGCACAAUGGGGGGAACCCUGAUGCAGCGACGCCGCGUGAGUGAAGAAGUAUUUCGGUAUGUAAAGCUCUAUCAGCAGGGAAGAUAAUGACGGUACCUGACUAAGAAGCCCCGGCUAACUACGUGCCAGCAGCCGCGGUAAUACGUAGGGGACAAGCGUUAUCCGGAUUUACUGGGUGUAAAGGGUGCGUAGGUGGCAGGGCAAGUCAGAUGUGAAAGCCCGGGGCCCAACCCCGGUACUGCAUUUGAAACUGUCCGGCUGGAGUGCAGGAGAGGUAAGCGGAAUUCCUAGUGUAGCGGUGAAAUGCGUAGAUAUUAGGAGGAACACCAGUGGCGAAGGCGGCUUACUGGACUGUAACUGACGCUGAGGCUCGAAAGCGUGGGGAGCGAACAGGAUUAGAUACCCCAGUACCA